rnacentral:rRNA from 1 species
AUGAACGCUAGCGACAGGCUUAACACAUGCAAGUCGAGGGGCAGCACAGGUAGCAAUACCGGGUGGCGACCGGCGCACGGGUGAGUAACGCGUAUGCAACUUGCCUAUCAGAGGGGGAUAACCCGGCGAAAGUCGGACUAAUACCGCAUGAAGCAGGGGCCCCGCAUGGGGAUAUUUGCUAAAGAUUCAUCGCUGAUAGAUAGGCAUGCGUUCCAUUAGGCAGUUGGCGGGGUAACGGCCCACCAAACCGACGAUGGAUAGGGGUUCUGAGAGGAAGGUCCCCCACAUUGGUACUGAGACACGGACCAAACUCCUACGGGAGGCAGCAGUGAGGAAUAUUGGUCAAUGGGCGUAAGCCUGAACCAGCCAAGUCGCGUGAGGGAUGAAGGUUCUAUGGAUCGUAAACCUCUUUUAUAAGGGAAUAAAGUGUGGGACGUGUCCCGUUUUGUAUGUACCUUAUGAAUAAGGAUCGGCUAACUCCGUGCCAGCAGCCGCGGUAAUACGGAGGAUCCGAGCGUUAUCCGGAUUUAUUGGGUUUAAAGGGUGCGUAGGCGGCCUUUUAAGUCAGCGGUGAAAGUCUGUGGCUCAACCAUAGAAUUGCCGUUGAAACUGGGGGGCUUGAGUAUGUUUGAGGCAGGCGGAAUGCGUGGUGUAGCGGUGAAAUGCAUAGAUAUCACGCAGAACCCCGAUUGCGAAGGCAGCCUGCCAAGCCAUUACUGACGCUGAUGCACGAAAGCGUGGGGAUCAAACAGGAUUAGAUACCCUGGUAGUCCACGCAGUAAACGAUGAUCACUAGCUGUUUGCGAUACACUGUAAGCGGCACAGCGAAAGCGUUAAGUGAUCCACCUGGGGAGUACGCCGGCAACGGUGAAACUCAAAGGAAUUGACGGGGGCCCGCACAAGCGGAGGAACAUGUGGUUUAAUUCGAUGAUACGCGGGGAACCUUACCCGGGUUUGAACGCAUUCGGACCGAGGUGGAAACACCUUUUCUAGCAAUAGCCGUUUGCGAGGUGCUGCAUGGUUGUCGUCAGCUCGUGCCGUGAGGUGUCGGCUUAAGUGCCAUAACGAGCGCAACCCUUGCCACUAGUUACUAACAGGUGAUGCUGAGGACUCUGGUGGGACUGCCAGCGUAAGCUGCGAGGAAGGCGGGGAUGACGUCAAAUCAGCACGGCCCUUACAUCCGGGGCGACACACGUGUUACAAUGGCGUGGACAAAGGGAGGCCACCUGGCGACAGGGAGCGAAUCCCCAAACCACGUCUCAGUUCGGAUCGGAGUCUGCAACCCGACUCCGUGAAGCUGGAUUCGCUAGUAAUCGCGCAUCAGCCAUGGCGCGGUGAAUACGUUCCCGGGCCUUGUACACACCGCCCGUCAAGCCAUGGGAGCCGGGGGUACCUGAAGUCCGUAACCGAAAGGAUCGGCCUAGGGUAAAACUGGUGACUGGGGCU